CAGAAAAUGACUGAUUGAGAUGAGAUGUUGGUGAACAGCAUCUUGACCCUUGGGUCAAGUGACAGUAAAGGACUCAGGAUGUACGCAUGGAGAAAGCUUUCAGGAAGUGGGACCAGCAUGAAAUAAAGCUGUGAGGUGAGGAAGAGCUUAUUUUAAAAACUAGAUGUGGCAAUGGGGGAACAGUGUGCCUCAGACACUGAGCAGAGGGCAAAUGGCAUGAAGUGAUGAUGUUUCCACAAUAGGAACUUUUCAUGCAAUGUGAGGAAUGAAUUGUGAGGGGAAGAAUGGAAGAGGAGACCACAAAGAAGCAGUUGCAAGAGUCCAAGUCGGAAAUACUGGCAUCAAGGACCUGAAUGAUAACAGAGGAAAUGGGGAGUAGAGGACAAAAUGAGAUUUGCCUUUGAGGUUUAGAACUCACUGACUUCAGAGACAGAACACAGGUCAUUGAGAUAAAUUAACUACAGGAAAUGAGGAAAAGGAACAAGUCAAGAGAAACCAGAAAAUUUCUGUCUCAGGCAGCUGGGAGGAUGAGAACAAGCAAGUUGAGUUUUGAGAUGACCCUGGAGCAUUGUACUUCUAGGCCUCUACCAUCCAGGGAUCCUGCUACCUUCAUUAAAAUCAGGGAGCCAAUUUCAAAUGCAACAUCUACUAACAUCUCUGAAAACAAAACUCCACUAAAGUGCUUUUUCAAAAAUGCUGGUGUUUCCCUCAACAGUGGAUUUCUCAAAACCUUGAAAAGAGAGUGUCUUAUAAAUCCUCAGGGAACAACAUUUGCUGGGGGGAGGGAUGGGUCAUUCCUUCUCUCUCUAAGUCUUUGCAUUUUUUCCUGUGCAUUUUACCAAUAAAUUUCUGUCAUUCCAACCAGCUUCAGCUAGUAGCAGUUUUGAAUCUACGUUUUAGUAAGCCAACUAAUUAUCAUUAAAAGUAUAUCUGAG
rnacentral:lncRNA from 10 species